GGUGUCAUUGGAUAAUUUAGCCUGGAGUAAAGAUAGAGGGCUAAUGCAAGUAGCUGUAAGAGCAGUUGGAAGUCUGACAACGAGCAUUAAUUUUAAUGAAAUAAUUCCCUUUGGCACCCAGGUAACCAGAAACGGUCUAGGUCAGGUGCUAGGAAACACUGCAGAGGACGCCGUCAGCAGGAAGACACACUUCUCCAUGAACAUCGCCAUCCAGGAAGCGAGCUGUGCCUACAGAGUGCUGGGCCCCGAGGAGGCCUGGCACUGGGAAAUGGAUCAAUCCUUCCUCUUAAGAAACACUUGAGAAGCACAUAGGCAACUAUUUCAUAGGAGAAUGAAUAACAAGAAAGAAAGAAAAAGAAAACACAGAAGGGGUAACAGAGAAACUGACUUCCACAGACCUAGAGGGAAACGGUUGUUUUUUUAACGGAGGUAGAACAGAUUCGGAGCGCCUUCGAAGAAGAAAGAAGAGCCCCUGACCACACACUGUCCAGAGACGUGGAUCAGGAGGAGUGCCCAGGUUAACCGGCAAGACGAGAGUAAUCAGCGAUUCGGUGAUGAGGCAGGGGCAGGAGGGUGGCUGUCCAAUCGCCUACGCGGAAGGACGUGGAGGAUCAUUCUGCAUCAGAGCAGGACCAGCUGCCAAUGGGAUGGUUCCCAGCCCGACCCUGAAGCCAGCCUUCCUGCAAAGCCUCACAGCCUGGAGCCUUCUGAAUAUCUCAGAUACUCAUCUGGAGGCUACAGACAUGGUUGUGUGAAGCUGACAGAUAGGAUCAUCUGUUUGAAUGCCUCUGGACACCGUGGGAAGACAAAAAAGAUAACUAUUAAAGAAUAUCAAGAGAUUUUGCUCUUGGAGACAUUCAGAUGCAUGACUAUGGAUCAACUUCUCAGGAUACAAGAAGAGUGUCAGGAAGCUGGAGCUUUUUCAGGAACACUGGGAAACCCAGCCAAGGUUUAUCUCUCCACAAUUACAAAUGACUAAUAGUAGCAAUGAAAGCAAGACUAAGUUUUAAAAGACUGAGAUGAUGCACAGUGUAUUCUCUGAUCACAAUAGAAUUGAAUCAGAAACCAAACAAAAAGAUAGGUGGAAAAUCCCUAAGUAUUUGCCAACGAAAUAACACAUGUCAGAAUAAUUUAUGGGCCAAAGAAGAAAUUUCCAGAUAAGUUAGAUAAUAAUUUAAAUUGAAUUAAAUAAAAACCAGCAUUUCAAAAUGUGUGUGACA
rnacentral:lncRNA from 1 species